rnacentral:rRNA from 1 species
GACGAACGCUGGCGGCGUGCUUAACACAUGCAAGUCGAACGGAAAGGCUCCAGCUUGCUGGAGUACUCGAGUGGCGAACGGGUGAGUAACACGUGGGUGAUCUGCCCUGCACUUUGGGAUAACUCUGGGAAACUGGGUCUAAUACCGGAUAGGAGCGCCCUCUGGUUUGUGUGGUUGAGAGGUUUUCCUGGUGUGGGGUGGGCUCCCGGCCUAUCAGUUUGUUGGUGGGGUAAUGGGCUUCCAAGAGGGUGACGGGUUGCCGGGCUGAGAGGGUGGACGGUCCCAUUGGGAAUGGGAUACGGCCCAGAAUCCUACGGGGGGCAGCAGGGGGGAAUAUUGCAAAAUGGGGGAAAACCUGGUGCAACGAAGCCGGGUGGGGGAUGAACGCCUUCGGGUUGUAAACUCCUUUCGGUAGGGAAGAAGCUUUUUGUGACGGUAAUUGGAGAAGAAGCACCGGCUAACUACGUG